CCUGACGCAGGAUGAAUACAAGGUAAAUGUUCUUAGCCUUUUUCUUUUUAGCUUACAGAAAACUUUCACUGCGGGAAAUGGCUUUUAGUACGAGGAUAUAUCUGUAAUUAUAUUUUUAUCGUGCUCAUUGAUUAAUUUCCUUGUUAUAAAUAAGCCUAUGUUUUUUUUUUUAAAUUACAUCAGACGUGAAAUAGGCUCACCGCAACCUAAAUACCUGGUGAGUCCAUGUCUGUUCCAAAACAUAAAUUAAUGCAACAAUUAAUACAUGUAUGUGAAGUUGAUGACAGCCAGAAAAACAAACUUGAAAACGUGAAAAAAUAACUUUAUUUGUCAAAGGGAACAUUAUCAACACUGUUUUUCAACAAUCCAAACAAUGCAUCACUGCACUGUGUAGAACACAGCAUGUGGGAAGAUCUUAGUAUUUACCGAUGCUGCUUUCACUCCACUUCCCAGGUGAUUAUACAACUCCCAGGCAUAUGUAGUUCUCCUGCAGUAUGCUACAUAAUGCCCAAGAUAAUCCUGGGUCAGUCCUGGUUCAAAGGCAAUGACUGCUCUCAAAGUAAAAGUCUUCUCUUUUAGCUCCAGACUGGAGGGAAAUUCAAGCAAGGCAACUUCCUUGCAACUGCUACCAAGAUGGACACUGGGAAGGAUUUUCAAUUGGCCUGAGGCAGAGAGUCAGGAAGGCUGAGUCCCUCUUCAGCAGCAGUCUGAAGAUAAGCCAUGCCACAGUGGAGAUGUAGCAUUGUGCAUCAAUUUGGAGAGCACCAGAGGUCAGGAGGACAGGUUUGAAUAUUUCCCCAGCAGUUCUAGCAGUGAGUAUACCUGUGGGUUCACACCCUGUGUUGU